rnacentral:rRNA from 1 species
GACGAACGCUGGCGGCGUGCUUAACACAUGCAAGUCGAACGGAAAGGCCCUGCUUUUGUGGGGUGCUCGAGUGGCGAACGGGUGAGUAACACGUGAGUAACCUGCCCUUGACUUUGGGAUAACUUCAGGAAACUGGGGCUAAUACCGGAUAGGAUCUCCUGCUGCAUGGUGGGGGUUGGAAAGUUUCGGCGGUUGGGGAUGGACUCGCGGCUUAUCAGCUUGUUGGUGGGGUAGUGGCUUACCAAGGCUUUGACGGGUAGCCGGCCUGAGAGGGUGACCGGCCACAUUGGACCUGAGAUACGGCCCAGACUCCUACGGGAGGCAGCAGUGGGGAAUAUUGCACAAUGGGCGGAAGCCUGAUGCAGCAACGCCGCGUGCGGGAUGACGGCCUUCGGGUUGUAAACCGCUUUCGCCUGUGACGAAGCGUGAGUGACGGUAAUGGGUAAAGAAGCACCGGCUAACUACGUG